UAUUUCACUUUUUCCUUUGUUCCUUUUUUCCUUUUCCUUUUCUCUUAUUUCUUCUUCUUUCU
rnacentral:ribozyme from 1 species